CACUCACUCUCACAAGGCUCCGAUUAAAAAAAGACUUCAACCGCGCUUUGAAGUCUCUGCAAAAGACCUCUGACCUCGUACUGAAUUCUCUCGUGUAACCGCCGAUCUUCUCCUCUUCUCCAUAAAGGAAAGCUCACGCUGAUCAUCAUAAAGUGGCAAGUAAAAGCCGAAGAUGGAUGCUGCUCCAGUCAACCAAUUGAUUGUUGCAGAAGCAGUAAACAACCAAUUUGGUGGGCUGAGUCUUGAGGAAACCAACGCUAAUAACGUUCCAGUCAACCACAGUGGACCGUCUUUGGCAUCAGAAGUCGGUAAAACAUCACCUGGAGAUGCAGUACCUCAGAACGCAGAUCUCAACUUGGAGAAUUUCACGGUGGACGAGUCGAGUUGUUGCAGUGCUCAGAUCAGAGCCUCUUUCUAUCCAAAGUUUGAGAACGAAAAGACUGACCAAGAGAUAGAGACUACAAGGUUAUUAUCUCAAGUGACACCAGCUACUCCUGAGCCAGCUGUGCAAGAAGCUGUCCAGAAGAAUCAAGGGUUAAUUGUAUUCUUUCCCGGAACCCCUGGAAAUGCUAAAUCUUCUCUUGUAAGGAGUUAGUGAACACCCCAGGUGGCUUAGGAGAUGAUCGGCCAGUGCAUACUCUGAUGGGUGAUCUUGUCAAAGAAAACUAUUGGGAAAAGGUUGCUGAUGAACUUCGUAAAAAGCCACAAUCAAUUAUGUUGGCUGACAAAAAUGCCCGAGAUGAAGACGUCUGGAGACAGAUUGAAGACAUGUGCCGGAGAAAUAGGGUGACUGGGGUUCCAGUCAUUUCUGAUUCCGAAGGAACCGAGUCAAAUCCAUAUUCACUUGAUGCCUUGGCUGUUUUCAUGUUCCGUGUACUUCAUAGAGUUGACCAUCCUAGGAAUCUCGACAAGACAUCUGCGAAAGUAGGCAAUGUGCUAUUGAUGUUUUACCACCUUUAUGAGGGAAAGAACCGCGAAGAAUUUGAAGGUGGAUUCAUUGAGCGCUUUGGUUCCCUCGUCAAGAUGCCACUGUUGAGAUCAGACAGGAGUCCUUUACCUGAUCCUGUUAAAUCGAUUCUUGAGGAGGGCAUCGACUUGUUCCAGCUCCACAGUAGAAGGCAUGGGAGACUUGAGUCGGCAAAAGGAACAUAUGCAGCGGAAUGGUCUAAAUGGGAGAAACAGCUGCGCCAUACUUUAGCUGCAAAUUCGGAGUAUUUCAAUUCUGUUCAGUUUCCGUUUGAGUAUGCGGUUCAGCAAGUGCGAGAAGAGCUAAAAAGAAUCGCAAAAGGUGAAUACAAACCACCAAGUUCAGAGAAAACAAAACAUGGGUCUAUUACAUUCGCUGCCAUCAACUUGCAUGUAACUCAAGUCCACAGGCUUCUUGAAAAGUUGGCCGCAUCAAACCCAACAGUGAGAUCUUUUUUAGAGUUAAAGAAGGAGAGCAUAGAGGAAAAACUUGAACGGGCUCACGUGACGCUUACCCACAAGAGAAGUCACGGAGUAGCUGCUGUAGCCAGAUACGGUCAGCAUUUAAACAGAGAGGUGCCCGUAGAGCUCACGGAGCUCAUCUUCAACGACAAGAUGGCUGCUUUUACAGCCCACGUAGGAUCCGUGGAUGGAGAGACCAUAGUAUGCAAGAACGAAUGGCCACAUGUUACGUUGUGGACUACAGAAGGCGUUACUGCCCGAGAAGCCAACACGUUACCCCAGCUUUACGCAGACGGAAAGGCAAGCCGCAUGGUGAUCGAUCCUCCUGCCUCAGUCUCAGGUCCUCUGGAGUUUUUCUGAUAUUAUUUAGCUUGAAAUUGCUUGUGUAACACAUUAACCAUGGCUACCUUAUGUCACAAUCAAUGAAAGCUUUUUGUGACAUAAACAUUCAUAUACAUGCUACUUUAGUAGCUAAAAACAUUGGUUUUCAUUGAUUUUUAAA